AUUGAACGCUGGCGGCAUGCCUUACACAUGCAAGUCGAACGGCAGCAUGAUCUAGCUUGCUAGAUUGAUGGCGAGUGGCGAACGGGUGAGUAAUACAUCGGAACGUGCCCUGUAGUGGGGGAUAACUAGUCGAAAGAUUAGCUAAUACCGCAUACGACCUGAGGGUGAAAGUGGGGGACCGCAAGGCCUCAUGCUAUAGGAGCGGCCGAGGUCUGAUUAGCUAGUUGGUGAGGUAAAGGCUCACCAAGGCGACGAUCAGUAGCUGGGCUGAGAGGACGAUAAGCCACACUGGGACUGGGACACGGCCCAGACGACUACGGGAGGCAGCAGUGGGGAAGUUUGGACAAUGGGGGCAACCCUGAUCCAGAAAUGCCGCGUGUGUGAAGAAGGCCUUCGGGUUGUAAAGCACUUUUGUCCGGAAAGAAAUCGCACUUACUAAUAUUAGGUGUGGAUGACGGUACCGGAAGAAUAAGGACCGGCUAACUACGUGCCAGCCGCCGCCGUAACAC
rnacentral:rRNA from 1 species